CUUAGUUCUUCUUCUUCUUCCUCUUCUUCU
rnacentral:sRNA from 1 species